rnacentral:rRNA from 1 species
GUGGUGAACCAGCGGAGGGAUCAUUA